rnacentral:rRNA from 1 species
UACAGAGGGUGCAAGCGUUAAUCGGAAUUACUGGGCGUAAAGCGUGCGUAGACGGUUAUGUAAGUCGGGUGUGAAAGCCCCGGGCUCAACCUGGGAAUGCCAUUCGAGACUGCAUAGCUAGGGUGCGGAAGAGGGAGGCGGAAUUUCAGGUGUAGCGGUGAAAUGCGUAGAUAUCGUAAGGAAGACCAGUGGCGAAGGCGGGUCUCUGGACAGUUCCUGACGCUGAGGCACGAAGGCCAGGGGAGCAAACGGG